rnacentral:rRNA from 1 species
ACGCAUGGUAGGAGAGCGUUCCGUAAGCCUGCGAAGGUGCCUUGUAAAGGGUGCUGGAGGUAUCGGAAGUGCGAAUGCUGACAUGAGUAGCGAUAAAGGGGGUGAAAGGCCCCCUCGCCGUAAGCCCAAGGUUUCCUACGCAACGUUCAUCGGCGUAGGGUGAGUCGGCCCCUAAGGCGAGGCAGAAAUGCGUAGCUGAUGGGAAGCAGGUCAAUAUUCCUGCACCGUCGUUAGAUGCGAUGGGGGGACGGAUCGCGGAAGGUUGUCCGGGUGUUGGAAGUCCCGGUCGCUGCAUUGGAGAAGGCGCUUAGGCAAAUCCGGGCGCAGGAUUCAAGGGUGUGGCGCGAGCGACUUAGGUCGCGAAGCAAUUGGAAGUGGUUCCAAGAAAAGCCUCUAAGCUUCAGUCUAACGAUGACCGUACCGCAAACCGACACAGGUGGGCGAGAUGAGUAUUCUAAGGCGCUUGAGAGAACUCGGGAGAAGGAACUCGGCAAAUUGGUACCGUAACUUCGGGAUAAGGUACGCCCUUGUAGCUUGACUGGCCUGCGCCAGGAGGGUGAAGGGGUUGCAAUAAACUGGUGGCUGCGACUGUUUAAUAAAAACACAGCACUCUGCAAACACGAAAGUGGACGUAUAGGGUGUGACGCCUGCCCGGUGCCGGAAGAUUAAAUGAUGGGGUGCAAGCUCUUGAUUGAAGUCCCGGUAAACGGCGGCCGUAACUAUAACGGUCCUAAGGUAGCGAAAUUCCUUGUCGGGUAAGUUCCGACCUGCACGAAUGGCGUAACGAUGGCCACACUGUCUCCUCCCGAGACUCAGCGAAGUUGAAGUGUUUGUGAUGAUGCAAUCUACCCGCGGCUAGACGGAAAGACCCCAUGAACCUUUACUGUAGCUUUGCAUUGGACUUUGAACCGAUCUGUGUAGGAUAGGUGGGAGGCUAUGAAACCGGAACGCUAGUUUCGGUGGAGCCGUCCUUGAAAUACCACCCUGGUUUGUUUGAGGUUCUAACCUUGGCCCGUGAUCCGGGUCGGGGACAGUGCAUGGUAGGCAGUUUGACUGGGGCGGUCUCCUCCCAAAGCGUAACGGAGGAGUACGAAGGUACGCUAGGUACGGUCGGAAAUCGUGCUGAUAGUGCAAUGGCAUAAGCGUGCUUAACUGCGAGACCGACAAGUCGAGCAGGUGCGAAAGCAGGUCAUAGUGAUCCGGUGGUUCUGUAUGGAAGGGCCAUCGCUCAACGGAUAAAAGGUACUCUGGGGAUAACAGGCUGAUACCGCCCAAGAGUUCAUAUCGACGGCGGUGUUUGGCACCUCGAUGUCGGCUCAUCUCAUCCUGGGGCUGUAGCCGGUCCCAAGGGUAUGGCUGUUCGCCAUUUAAAGAGGUACGUGAGCUGGGUUUAAAACGUCGUGAGACAGUUUGGUCCCUAUCUGCCGUGGGCGUUGGAUAUUUGAAGGGGGCUGCUCCUAGUACGAGAGGACCGGAGUGGACGAACCUCUGGUGUACCGGUUGUGACGCCAGUCGCAUCGCCGGGUAGCUAUGUUCGGAAGAGAUAACCGCUGAAAGCAUCUAAGCGGGAAACUCGCCUUAAGAUGAGAUAUCCCUGGAGGCUUGACCUCCUUGAAGGGUCGUUCGAGACCAGGACGUUGAUAGGUCAGGUGUGUAAGCGCAGUAAUGCGUUCAGCUAACUGAUACUAAUUGCCCGUAAGGCUUGAUCCUAUAACA